AACGAACGCUGGCGGCAGGCUUAACAAAUGCAAGUCGAACGGAUCCUUCGGGAUUAGUGGCAGACGGGUAAGUAACGCGUGGGAACGUACCCUUUGCUACGGAAUAAGUCAGUGAAACUUAAGCUAAUACCGUAUGUGCCCUACGGGGGAAAGAUUUAUCGUCAAAGGAUCGGCCCGCGUUGGAUUAGCUAGUUGGUGGGGUAAUGGCCUACCAAGGCGACGAUCCAUAGCUGGUCUGAGAGGAUGACCAGCCACACUGGGACUGAGACACGGCCCAGACUCCUACGGGAGGCAGCAGUGGGGAAUAUUGGACAAUGGGCGCAAGCCUGAUCCAGCCAUGCCGCGUGAGUGAUGAAGGUCUUAGGAUUGUAAAGCUCUUUCACCGGUGAAGAUAAUGACGGUAGCCGGAGAAGAAGCCCCGGCUAACUUCGUG
rnacentral:rRNA from 1 species